rnacentral:rRNA from 1 species
GGCUACAGGACGAACGCUGGCGGCGUGCUUAACACAUGCAAGUCGAACGAGACGAUUGAAAGCUUGCUUUUGAAAGUCGAGUGGCAAACGGGUGAGUAACGCGUAGACAACCUGCCUUGAGAUGGGGACAACAGUCCGAAAGGACUGCUAAUACCGAAUGUUGUGGAACUUCCGCAUGGGAGCUCCACCAAAGAUGACCUCUUCCUGAAAGUUAUCGCUCAAAGAUGGGUCUGCGUCUGAUUAGCUAGUUGGUGGGGCAACGGCCUACCAAGGCGACGAUCAGUAGCCGACCUGAGAGGGUGAUCGGCCACAUUGGAACUGAGACACGGUCCAAACUCCUACGGGAGGCAGCAGUGGGGAAUAUUGCACAAUGGGCGAAAGCCUGAUGCAGCAACGCCGCGUGAGCGAAGAAGGUCUUCGGAUUGUAAAGCUCUGUCCCUGGGGAAGAUAAUGACGGUACCCAAGGAGGAAGCCCCGGCUAACUACGUG